rnacentral:rRNA from 1 species
GACGAACGCUGGCGGCGUGCUUAACACAUGCAAGUCGAGCGGAGCGGCGAACGGGUGAGUAACGCGUGAGUAACUGCCCCCCUCUCUGGGAUAACAGUUGGAAACGGGUGCUAAUACCGGAUAGCGGGGGAUGACUCGCGUCCUAUCAGCUUGUUGGUGGGGUAGUGGCCUACCAAGGCGACGACGGGUAGCCGGCCUGAGGGGGCGAGCGUCCACAUUGGGCAGAGGUACGGCCCGUAGGCGUAGGGGGGGCAGCAGUGGAGAAUGUUGCGGAAGGGGGCAAACCCUGAUGCAGAAGCGCCGCGUGCGGGAUGGCGGCGUUCGGGUGGGAGUCCGCUUUCAGCCUUGACGCGGUAUUAGCAGGAGAAGCACCGGCUAACGACGUGCCAGCAGCCGCGGUAAUUC